rnacentral:tRNA from 1 species
AGUCNCCGUUGGUCAAGGGGUUAAGACACCGCCUUUUCACGGCGGUAACACGGGUUCGAAUCCCGUACGGACUA